GGAACCACUCUUCCUUGUCCCUCUUUUAGGAAAAUGCUGAACACAUAAAGGUAUGCAGAGAAAUGCAGACUGAAGGGUUUCUUGAGAGAAUGCACAGUAUACAAUCUUUGUUAUUAACACACCUCCCAUGCCUCCUUGGGCUGGAGAGGUGGCUCAGGGGUUAAGAGCACUGACUGCCCUUCUGGAGGUCCUGAGUUCAAUUCCCAGCAACCACAGGGUUGGUGGCUCACAACCAUAUGUAAUGGGAUCCGAUGCCUUCUUCUGGUGUGUCUGAAGACAGCUACAGUGUAGUCAUAUUAAAAAACAAAAACAAAUCCAUGCCUCCUCUCUGUACAGCAAAGGCCAGACGGAGGAAAGGCCAUCCGGCGGCGUACAUAUAACACAUGAAGGAAACUGGGUGACAACAGCCAAUUCUCAUCUACAAAGCUGGAUUUGUGUGUGCAUGAAAUCUCCAGAUACUGAAGUGUUAGCAUUACACAAGGAAUGUGAGAAAGAUGUUACAAUUAGUUAAGUACUUUGAAGGGUUAAGUGUGCCCUCCAGUUAGUUUGUUUUCUGUUGCUUCCAUCAAAAUAAGUGCUGGAUCAAAAUAAAGAAAAGACGAUUGUUUCCCUCGUGAU
rnacentral:lncRNA from 1 species